GAUGAACGCUGGCGGCGUGCUUAACACAUGCAAGUCGAACGGAAAGGCCCUGCUUUUGUGGCGUGCUCGUGUGGCGCACGGGUGAGUAACACGUGUGUAACCCGCCCUUGUCUUUGGGAUAACUUCAGGAAACUGGGGCUAAUACCGGAUAGGAGCUCCUGCUGCAUGGUGGGGGUUGGAAAGUUUCGGCGGUUGGGGAUGGACUCGCGGCUUAUCCGCUUGUUGGUGGGGUAGUGGCUUACCAAGGCUUUGACGGGUAGCCGGCCUGAGAGGGUGACCGGCCACAUUGGGACUGAGAUACGGACCAGACUCCUACGGGAGGCAGCAGUGGGGAAUAUUGCACAAUGGGCGGAAGCCUGAUGCAGCGACGCCGCGUGCGGGAUGACGGCCUUCGGGUUGUAAACCGCUUUCGCCGGUGACGAAGCGUGAGUGACGGUAAUUGGUAAAGAAGCACCGGCUAACUACGUG
rnacentral:rRNA from 1 species